AUUGAACGCUGGCGGCAGGCCUAACACAUGCAAGUCGAGCGAGCGGCGGACGGGUGAGUAAUGUAUGGGGAUCUGCCCGAUAGAGGGGGGUAACCACUGGAAACGGUAGCUAAUAACGCAUACUAUCGGCUGAACCCAUAUGUGAUGAGCUAGGUGGGGAGGUAAGGGCUGACCAAGGAGACGAUCCCUAGCUGGGCUGCGAGGAUGAUCAGCCACACUGUGACUGAGACACGGCCCAGACUCCUACGGGAGGCAGCAGUGGGGAAUUUUGGACAAUGGGGGAAACCCUGAUCCAGCCAUCCCGCGUGUAUGAUGAAGGCCUUCGGGUUGUAAAGGACUUUUGGCAGAGAAGCGGUAUCUGCAGAAUAAGCACCGGCUAACUACGUGCCAGCAGCCGCGGUAAUUC
rnacentral:rRNA from 1 species